UGUCACAAGGAUCCCUCCUCUUUUACUCUUUAACCCCAUCCUCGCUAUAUGAAGCAGAACUUAACCUGUCCCUGCUGGGGGGUCUGGAAUGUUCAGAGAGGAAUGAGAGGGGUUUGGUUGAGGGAGGUGGAAAGAGGAAGAGACAGAGCAGAGGCCGAGACUGCCGGGGGUGGAGGCUGCGAAUACCACAGGAAAAGUGGAGGAGCAAGGGCAGGAAUUGGGCAGCACCCUCUGAGCACACGCAGAUCUGAAUCUAAUCCCGGGGUCUAUGGGACAAGCUCACAAUGAGGACCGUGCAGGUGAUUCAGGAGGAGCUCCACGAUGUGACAGUUUAGCCCUUCCCUCCAGAUCUCUGUGACCCCCCAUCAUGUCCGGUCCUCACCUCUUCUGGCUGGUUUUAUUGGGGGUCUUGACAUGGAUUUCCGCAGAGGACCCCUGUAGAUGCAUCUUCCUGGAGCAGGAGGCGGACUGGUCGCUGCUGACGUCUGAUCACUGCUGUGUGAACCUCACUCUUUCUGUAAACACCUUGGACUGGAACCUCUUUACCCCCCUCCACAGCCUCCGGGUCUUGGAUCUCUCCAACUCUGGAAUUGAGGAGCUCACAGAGUCCGAGGGGGGGAGAAACCAGACACUCAUUGAGAUCUUGUACAUGGACCACAAUCACCUGAUGAGAGCUUCCGGAGGGUUUCUUGAGCAAUGCCCCCAACUUGAGGAUUCUUCACCUUGAGUUCAAUGAUCUGCGUCACUUCCUCCAAACUUCUUACAAGUGUCCGUCCUGAUCCAGGAGCUGCACCUGAGCUACAACAACCUGCACUCCUUCCCCGCCAGUCUCCUCAGACCUUCUCUCACCACUUUUGGCUUCCUCAACAACAGUCUGGACUGCUCAUGUGCCUCUAUGACCAACUGGAACCCAACUUCCUGGCCAAUGGCACCAGACUUCUGCUGGAUGAUGUUGUCUGUGCUUUUCCAAAGGAUGCCAAUGGGCAGAGGAUCCUGGACGUCCCGAGAAGCUCCGUCUGCCGUUCCCACGGCCUGACUGUGGCCUUGAUCUGCAUCCCAUUGGUGGCGCUGGUUCUGCUCAUGUGCUGGUAUGUACUGCCUGCCGACGACAGAAAGGUGCAUACGCCAACACAAGGCGCGAGUGCAGCCUGGUCACUGUGGAUCGCAACGGAGCUGGGAAUAGGGGAGAAUAUCAUCACUAUGAACCCCGGCACAACUUCCAAAAAGAGCGCAAGGAACAAGAAAUUCAGCAGUUCAAGGACCCCAUUCUCCUCCGACCAUCUGCUGCCUCCUGGGAAGCAACCGAGACCUGUACGAGGAGGUGGAGAUCAAAACUGGGCACCUCUGCAGACUCCCUGGUGGAAGGCGAUGGACGAGAGGGUCUGGAGGGUGCAGGGCUGAUGUUGGCAUGUAGCAGAGGAAGAAGAGGAUGAAGAAGAGAAGAGCUGGGGCCCGAGGAACCAGAAGUGGAAAACUGUCAGCGUGGACAGAGGUCAUGAAGGAACUCAAGUGACCGAGAGAAACUUUACUGAACCAGACUACAGACUAUUACAGUCUGGUGCCAGAGAUUGAGUUAGAAGACUCUGACCAUUGUGAGUAUGAGAGCGUCGACCUCACCUGAGCAAGUAUGAGAGCGUCGACCUCAUGAGAGCGUCAACCUCACCUCAAUGAGUAGGAGAGCAUCAAACUGUCCAAGAGUGAAUAUGAGAGCAUCAACCUCAUCUCAGUGACCUUCAGGCUUGAAAACCAAUGGACUCAAUUAUUAUGUAAGGACUAAUGACUGCGGCAACCAGAACAGGACUAAGGAUGGUCAGACAGUGCUGAACCUGGACUGAAUCUAUUAUAAUACACUGCCCCGAGCCUAUAAUGCACUGACCGGAGCCUAUAAUGCACUGAUCGGAGUCUAUAAUACACUGAAUAAAGUCUAUACUACACUGA